rnacentral:rRNA from 1 species
UGGGGAAUAUUGCACAAUGGGCGCAAGCCUGAUGCAGCCAUGCCGCGUGUAUGAAGAAGGCCUUCGGGUUGUAAAGUACUUUCAGCGGGGAGGAAGGCGAUAAGGUUAAUAACCUUGUCGAUUGACGUUACCCGCAGAAGAAGCACCGGCUAACUCCGUGCCAGCAGCCGCGGUAAUACGGAGGGUGCAAGCGGUAAUCGGAAUUACUGGGCGUAAAGCGCACGCAGGCGGUCUGUCAAGUCGGAUGUGAAAUCCCCGGGCUCAACCUGGGAACUGCAUUCGAAACUGGCAGGCCAGAGUCUUGUAGAGGGGGGUAGAAUUCCAGGUGUAGCGGUGAAAUGCGUAGAGAUCUGGAGGAAUACCGGUGGCGAAGGCGGCCCCCUGGACAAAGACUGACGCUCAGGUGCGAAAGCGUGGGGAGCAAACA